rfam:Streptomyces roseus strain ATCC 31245 contig_124, whole genome shotgun sequence.
CCGGCGGCCGGUCCACGGCCCCGGACGAGAUGCGCCGUACCCGGUUACGCACGACGACGCGCG